GACUUAUGUAUUCUAGUUAAAAAUAAAUGGGUCAGUGAACCUGGCUGUUAACCAAGAGGUUGGUGGUUCGAGCCCACCCAAGGAUGGCU